rnacentral:rRNA from 1 species
AACGAACGCUGGCGGCAUGCCUAACACAUGCAAGUCGAACGAAAACUCCGGGUCUUGGGGCGCUCGGGGGUGUCACCCGAGGGAACAUGAACUUAUGUUCGGCAUAACUACACGACAGGGGUGCUAAUACCGGAUAGUGUCUUAGGACCAAUGAUUUAUCGCCUUGGGUUGGGCCAUCGUUGGAUUAGCUAGUUGGUAGGGUAAAAGCUUACUACGGCGCGGAUUCACAGCUGGUCUGUGAGGAUGAUCAGCCACACUGAGACUCAGACACGGCCCGGACUCCUACGCGAGGGAGCAGUGCGGAAUUGUGGACAACCGCCGAAGGGCUGAAGCUGUACGGACGCGUGAGCUAUGUUGUCCUUAGGGUUGUAAAGCGCAUUUACCCGGGAUGGUAAUGACGGUACCGGGAGAAUAAGCUCCGGCUAACUCCGUG